UACGUAGGGUGCGAGCGUUACUCGGAAUUACUGGGCGUAAAGCGUGCGUAGGCGGUGAGUUAAGUCUGUCGUGAAAGCCCCGGGCUCAACCUGGGAAUGGCGAUGGAUACUGGCUCGCUAGAGGAUCGGAGAGGCAAGGGGAAUUCCACGUGUAGCGGUGAAAUGCGUAGAGAUGUGGAGGAACACCUGUGGCGAAGGCGCCUUGCUGGCCGAUUUCUGACGCUGAGGCGCGAAAGCGUGGGGAGCAAACAGG
rnacentral:rRNA from 1 species